GAUGAAGAACGUAGCGAAAUGCGAUAAGUAAUGUGAAUUGCAGAAUUCAGUGAAUCAUCGAAUCUUUGAACGCACAUUGCGCCGGCCAGUAGUCUGGCGGGCAUGCCUGUCUGAGCGUCAUUUCAACCCUCAUGCCCCUAGGGCGUGGUGUUGGGGAUCGGCCAAAGCCCGCGAGGGACGGCCGGCCCCUAAAUCUAGUGGCGGACCCGUCGUGGCCUCCUCUGCGAAGUAGUGAUAUUCCGCAUCGGAGAGCGACGAGCCCCUGCCGUUAAACCCCCAACUUUCCAAGGUUGACCUCAGAUCAGGUAGGAAUACCCGCUGAACUUAAGCAUAUCAAUAAGCGGAGGA
rnacentral:misc_RNA from 1 species